CACGUAGGGCGCAAGCGUUGUCCGGAAUUAUUGGGCGUAAAGAGCUCGUAGGCGGUCUGUUGCGUCCGCUGUGAAAACUCGGGGCUUAACCCCGAGCCUGCAGUGGAUACGGGCAGACUAGAGGUAGGUAGGGGGAGAAUGGAAUUCCCGGUGUAGCGGUGAAAUGCGCAGAUAUCGGGAGGAACACCGGUGGCGAAGGCGGUUCUCUGGGCCUUACCUGACGCUGAGGAGCGAAAGCGUGGGGAGCGAACAGGA
rnacentral:rRNA from 1 species